GUCUAUGGCCAUACCUCCCUGAACAUGUCCAAUCUCAUCCCAUCUUGAAAGAUAAGCAGGGUUGGAUCUAGUUAGUACUUGGAUGGAAAACAUAGCACAAAACCAAUCUGACAUAAAAA
ensembl:rRNA 5S_rRNA 5S ribosomal RNA